GUUCUCGGAGAGGGUGAGUUGAAACGCUGCCUGGAAAGGAAGUACCAGGACUUGCACAGUGAUCUGCAGGUCUUCGCAUGACCUGUCCUUACAUUACUGUGACCAUUGUGGUAUAAUAUUUACUAUUUUACCUUUAGCAUUUGAUUCAUUGACAGACUAUCAUGUUUCUUAUCUCACUUUAACUUUUUAUAUCCCCUCUUACAUGAUCUAUGAUCUUUUAUUCUUUUGUCUCACCAAGUUGGUGAUCUUUUCAUCUUCCUGUGAUUUUGCUCACUUUCCUUUUCACUUAAUUCACUGACGUUGUACACUUUUGCUUCUGUUUAGCUGAAACCUUUUAGGGAAUGUAAUUUCUGUAUUUUUAGUAGAGACGGGGUUUCACCAUAUUGGCCAGAGUGGCUCACGCCUGUAAUCCCAGCACUUCGGGAGGCUGAGGCAGGAGAAUCACUUGAACCAGGGAGGCGGAGAUGGCAGUGAGCCUAGAUCGUGCCACUGCACUCUAGCCUGGUGACAGAGCGAGACUCUGUCUCAAAACAACAACAAAACAUUUACUGCAUUCUAGAUUUUGUCUUGGAUAACCUUUUUCUCCUUUAAUCUCUCAGUUUUGUGGGUGAGUAAACUUUAAAUGAAACUCUAAAGUUUUCAUUGUAUUUGUAUUGUAAAAUAAGUCCACCUCUUUGUAGUUACUUAAUGUUUUACGUUUAAACUACAAAGUAUCUGUCUUUGACCACAGCACUAGACAGGUAGGUAUUCAGUAGCCUGUUAAAGCUGUGCCUUUGAAAAUUGUAGAACCUUGAGAAUGUAAGAUUUAUUUACGUCUUUGUAUCUCUGUUAAAAGGAAAAAGAGUAAAUAGUUUGUUUCUUUUAUUUAACUUAGUUAUUUUGAAGAUAAGAUUAUGUGAAAUACUUUAAGCUGUACAGGGGAAAAUGACUUGGUCAGUCUUGCAUAUAAUUCACUUUUUUAGCCAAUGCAAGUCAGUUUAGCCCAUUAAAAUUUCAUGAAUCCCAUGUCACUGGGGUCAGUUUUUAGGCACAAGUCUGAUAAUAACAGUGCUUUAUGAUGUUUCUCCUCCCACACAUACUCUUUUAGCAUAAUGGUUGCAGUGAAAACAAUUCCGUAUAGCCUCUGGUUAUUAAGUAAAUAUUUAUAUAUUUCUAUUAGGCUGAACACAUUUAUGUGUACUUGGCUCAGUUAAAAUAGGGCAUGCAGGAAUGUAUGUGGGGGAGCAUGAAGAGGACAUGAAUCUGUUACCUAAAUUAAUAUACAUUGUUACUUAUGUUGGAUCGCAAAAGUGGUAGUAUAAGGUGAACAUUGGCCCAGUUAGAGAUUUCUCAUCUAGAACAGAGAGUAUUAUUUUCACCUUAGUGACCAUGAGCCAGUGAAGAGCAACUUCUCCAGAUCCAGUCCAAACUUGACCUAAGUCUAAUGUUCCCCAAAGAUUAGGCUCUUAUUUUCUGUCUUCAGACUUAGACCAAAACUUGAGGGGUUUACUGGGAAAAAAAAAAUCUACAAUGAGGUUGACUUAGAAAAAAAAAAAGAAUCCAUGCUCUAUUUUUGAGUCAUAAGGAUAUAGUGUCAUCCGGCCGGGCGCAGUGGCUCACGCCUGUAAUCCUAGCACUUUGAGAGGCUGAGGCGAGUUGAUCACCUGAGGUUGGGAGUUUGAGAGCAGCCUGACCAAUAUGGUUAAACCCCGUCUCUACUAAAAAUACAAAAAUUAGCUAGACGUGGUGGUGCGUGCCUGUACUCCCAGCUACUCAGGAGGCUGAAGUGGGAGAAUAACUUGAACUCUGGAGGAGGAGGUUGCAGUGAGCUGAGAUCGUGGUACUGCAUUCAAACCUGGGCAACAUGGGGAGACCCUGUCUCAAAAAAAAAAAAAAAAGUUGUUUGAUAUAAUUGAUCACUCUUCCCCUGCAAAUCUCUAUUCUCUGCCUCUGUGACACUGCACUGUCUUGCUUCUCUAGCUGUUUUUUCUCUACCUGCUUAAGAAGGCAUUAUUCUGAUUCUUAAUUUCUGUUGUUCUCCUGGGUUCCUCCUUAGCUUUUCAGUCUGUCACCCAGGCUGGAGUGCAGUGGCGCAGUCUCGGCUCACUGCAAGCUCCACCUCCCGGGUUCACGCCAUUCUCCUGCCUCAGCCUCCCAAGUAGCUGGGACUAUAGGUGCCCGCCACCACACCCGGCUAAUUUUUUGUAUUUUUAGUAGAGACGGAGUUUCACCGUGUUAGCCAGGAUGGUCUCAAUCUCCUGACCUGGUGAUCCUCCCG
rnacentral:lncRNA from 1 species